UUUUUUUGCAUCCAGCAUUACCUGUUCCGAUACCCACAAUCGUUACAACUUUCAACAAUGGAUCUCUUGGCUCUGGCAUCGAUGAAGAACGCAGCGAAAUGCGAUAAGUAGUGUGAAUUGCAGAAUUCAGUGAAUCAUCGAAUCUUUGAACGCACAUUGCGCCCCUCGGUACUCCGUGGGGCAUGCCUGUUCGAGCGUCAUCUACACCCUCAAGCUCUGCUUGGUGUUGGGCGUCUGUCCCGCCUCCCUCGCGCGCGGACUCGCCCCAAAUCCAUUGGCGGCGGCCCUUGCCUCCCUCUCGCGCAGCACAUUGCGCUUCUCGAGGCGCGGCGGACCGCGUCCAGCAAGCCACCGUCUAAACCGUCUUUGACCUCGGAUCAGGUAGGGAUACCCGCUGAACUUAAGCAUAUCAAUAAGCGGAGGAA
rnacentral:rRNA from 1 species